AGUGAACGCUGGCGGCGUGCUUAACACAUGCAAGUCGAACGAGAACGGAUUAUAGCUUGCUAUAAUUGUCAGCUAAGUGGCGCACGGGUGAGUAAUGUAUAGAUAACCUGCCCUCUAGAAAGGAAUAACAGUUGGAAACGACUGCUAAUGCCCUAUAUGCCUUUAAUACAUAAGUAUGCAAGGGAAACGCUUUAGUGCUAGAGGAUGGGUCUGUAUGGUAUCAGUUAGUUGGUGAGGUAAUGGCUCACCAAGACUAUGACGCCUAACUGGUUUGAGAGGAUGAUCAGUCACACUGGAACUGAGACACGGUCCAGACUCCUACGGGAGGCAGCAGUGGGGAACAUUGCAAAAUGGACGAAAGUCUGAUGCAGCAACGCCGCGUGGAGGAUGACACAUUUCGGUGCGUAAACUCCUUUUAUAUAGGAAGAUAAUGACGGUACUAUAUGAAUAAGCACCGGCUAACUCCGUGCCAGCCGCCGCGGUAA
rnacentral:rRNA from 1 species